UACGAAGGGGGCUAGCGUUGCUCGGAAUUACUGGGCGUAAAGGGCUCGUAGGCGGCCAACUAAGUCGGACGUGAAAUCCCUCAGCUUAACUGGGGAACUGCGUCCGAUACUGGAUGGCUUGGAUUUGGGAGAGGGAUGCGGAAUUCCAGGUGUAGCGGUGAAAUGCGUAGAUAUCUGGAGGAACACCGGUGGCGAAGGCGGCAUCCUGGACCAAUAUUGACGCUGAGGAGCGAAAGCCAGGGGAGCAAACGGG
rnacentral:rRNA from 1 species